rnacentral:rRNA from 1 species
UACGGAGGAUGCAAGCGUUAUCCGGAAUGAUUGGGCGUAAAGCGUGCGCAGGCGGUUCGCCAAGUCAGGUGUGAAAUCCCCGGGCUCAACCUGGGAAUUGCGCUUGAAACUAGCGAGCUUGAGUGUGGCAGAGGGGGGUGGAAUUCCACGUGUAGCAGUGAAAUGCGUAGAUAUGUGGAGGAACACCGAUGGCGAAGGCAGCCCCCUGGGUCAACACUGACGCUCAUGCACGAAAGCGUGGGGAGCAAACAGG